CUUUUCCUAUGGGUUCUUGCC
rnacentral:piRNA from 1 species